rnacentral:rRNA from 1 species
UACGGAGGGUGCAAGCGUUAAUCGGAAUUACUGGGCGUAAAGCGCGCGUAGGCGGCUGAGUAAGUCGAUUGUGAAAUCCCCGGGCUCAACCUGGGGAUUGCAGUCGAGACUGCUCGGCUAGAGUGUGGGAGAGGGUGGUGGAAUUCCCGGUGUAGCGGUGAAAUGCGUAGAUAUCGGGAGGAACAUCAGAGGAUAAGGCGACCACCUGGAUCAACACUGACGCUGAGGUGCGAAAGCGUGGGUAGCAAACAGG